AGCCGUAACAAGGGAACCCUUUGAGUUUGGAUCCUGCUCAGGACGAACGCUGGCGGCGUGCCUAAUACAUGCAAGUCGAACGAACUCUGGUAUUGAUUGGUGCUUGCAUCAUGAUUUACAUUUGAGUGAGUGGCGAACUGGUGAGUAACACGUGGGAAACCUGCCCAGAAGCGGGGGAUAACACCUGGAAACAGAUGCUAAUACCGCAUAACAACUUGGACCGCAUGGUCCGAGCUUGAAAGAUGGCUUCGGCUAUCACUUUUGGAUGGUCCCGCGGCGUAUUAGCUAGAUGGUGGGGUAACGGCUCACCAUGGCAAUGAUACGUAGCCGACCUGAGAGGGUAAUCGGCCACAUUGGGACUGAGACACGGCCCAAACUCCUACGGGAGGCAGCAGUAGGGAAUCUUCCACAAUGGACGAAAGUCUGAUGGAGCAACGCCGCGUGAGUGAAGAAGGGUUUCGGCUCGUAAAACUCUGUUGUUAAAGAAGAACAUAUCUGAGAGUAACUGUUCAGGUAUUGACGGUAUUUAACCAGAAAGCCACGGCUAACUACGUGCCAGCAGCCGCGGUAAUACGUAGGUGGCAAGCGUUGUCCGGAUUUAUUGGGCGUAAAGCGAGCGCAGGCGGUUUUUUAAGUCUGAUGUGAAAGCCUUCGGCUCAACCGAAGAAGUGCAUCGGAAACUGGGAAACUUGAGUGCAGAAGAGGACAGUGGAACUCCAUGUGUAGCGGUGAAAUGCGUAGAUAUAUGGAAGAACACCAGUGGCGAAGGCGGCUGUCUGGUCUGUAACUGACGCUGAGGCUCGAAAGUAUGGGUAGCAAACAGGAUUAGAUACCCUGGUAGUCCAUACCGUAAACGAUGAAUGCUAAGUGUUGGAGGGUUUCCGCCCUUCAGUGCUGCAGCUAACGCAUUAAGCAUCCGCCUGGAGUUCCCA
rnacentral:rRNA from 2 species